GUGGGGAAUAUUGGGCAAUGGGGGAAACCCUGACCCAGCAACGCCGCGUGAAGGAAGAAGGUUUUCGGAUCGUAAACUUCUAUCCUUGGUGAAGAUAAUGACGGUAGCCAAGAAGGAAGCCCCGGCUAACUACGUGCCAGCAGCCGCGGUAAUACGUAGGGGGCAAGCGUUGUCCGGCAUGAUUGGGCGUAAAGGGCGCGUAGGCGGCCUGGUCAUUCUGGAGUGAAAGUCCUGCUUUUAAGGUGGGAAUUGCUUUGGAUACUGUCGGGCUUGAGUGCAGGAGAGGUAAGCGGAAUUCCCGGUGUAGCGGUGAAAUGCGUAGAGAUCGGGAGGAACACCAGUGGCGAAGGCGGCUUACUGGACUGUAACUGACGCUGAGGCGCGAAAGUGUGGGGAGCAAACAGGAUUAGAUACCCCAGUAGUCC
rnacentral:rRNA from 1 species